rnacentral:rRNA from 1 species
CGUGCCAGCAGCCGCGGUAAUACGUAGGGUGCCAGCGUUGUCCGGAAUUACUGGGCGUAAAGAGCUCGUAGGUGGUUUGUCGCGUCGUCUGUGAAAUUCCGGGGCUUAACUCCGGGCGUGCAGGCGAUACGGGCAUAACUUGAGUGCUGUAGGGGAGACUGGAAUUCCUGGUGUAGCGGUGAAAUGCGCAGAUAUCAGGAGGAACACCGAUGGCGAAGGCAGGUCUCUGGGCAGUUACUGACGCUGAGGAGCGAAAGCAUGGGUAGCGAACAGGAUUAGAUACCCUGGUAGUCCAUGCCGUAAACGGUGGGCGCUAGGUGUAGGGGGCUUCCACGUUUUCUGUGCCGUAGCUAACGCAUUAAGCGCCCCGCCUGGGGAGUACGGCCGCAAGGCUAAAACUCAAAGGAAUUGACGGGGGCCCGCACAAGCGGCGGAGCAUGUGGAUUAAUUCGAUGCAACGCGAAGAACCUUACCUGGGCUUGACAUACACCAGAUUGCUGCAGAGAUGUAGUCUCCCUUGUGGUUGGUGUACAGGUGGUGCAUGGUGGUCGUCAGCUCGUGUCGUGAGAUGUUGGGUUAAGUCCCGCAACGAGCGCAACCCUUGUCUUAUGUUGCCAGCAUUUUAGUUGGGGACUCAUGAGAGACUGCCGGGGUUAACUCGGAGGAAGGUGGGGAUGACGUCAAAUCAUCAUGCCCCUUAUGUCCAGGGCUUCACACAUGCUACAAUGGUCGGUACAACGCGCAGCGACACUGUGAGGUGGAGCGAAUCGCUGAAAGCCGGUCUUAGUUCGGAUUGGGGUCUGCAACUCGACCCCAUGAAGUCGGAGUCGCUAGUAAUCGUAGAUCAGCAACGCUGCGGUGAAUACGUUCCCGGGCCUUGUACACACCGCCCGUCACGUCAUGAAAGUUGGUAACACCCGAAGCC